AGACCACCCGCUGAAUUUAAGCAUAUUAAUAAGCGGAGGAAAAGAAACUAACCAGGAUUCCCUUAGUAACGCCGAGGUGAAAAAAA
rnacentral:rRNA from 1 species